rnacentral:rRNA from 1 species
AUGAGCUUUUGGGGAGCAACAGUAAUUACAAGCUUAGCUAGCGCCACACCAGUAGUAGGAGAUACCAUAGUGACUUGGCUUUGGGGUGGUUUCUCCAUGGACAAUGCCACCUUAAAUCAUUUUUUUAGUCUCCAUCAUUUACUCGCCCUUGUUCUUCCUUUUGAUUUAAACAUUCUCCCCCGGGAGCUGCAGAAUUCUGGCAGGGGCAGCCCCCUUUUCCAGAUCAUGAAAAUGUGGAGAGUGAUGAUUCAUCAACUGAUUCAUCAGGGAGUUCAUCUGAUGAUUCAUCAACUGAUUCAUCAGGGAGUUCAUCUGAUGAUUCAUCAACUGAUGAAUCGGAUCUCGACACAGAUUAUGAUGAGCUAA